rnacentral:rRNA from 1 species
UACGUAGGGGGCUAGCGUUGUCCGGAAUCAUUGGGCGUAAAGCGCGUGUAGGCGGUCCGGUAAGUCCGCUGUGAAAGUCGAGGGCUCAACCCUCGAAUGCCGGUGGAUACUGUCGGGCUUGAGUACGGGAGAGGCGAGUGGAAUUCCUGGUGUAGCGGUGAAAUGCGCAGAUAUCAGGAGGAACACCGGUGGCGAAGGCGGGUCUCUGGGCCGAAAUUGACGCUGAGGAGCGAAAGCGUGGGGAGCAAACAGG